CAGGAGUGAGAGUUGAGGUUAGUAUGAAGGUAAGUUAAAAGCGCCAAGGAAUGUGUGUCAAGGGUCGGCAAAGUUUAUGGCACACACUCACUCGUUCACUCAAAAAAUAUGCUGCUUCUUAUGGGCUCACUUGCUGGCAGGCAGCGGCAC
rnacentral:lncRNA from 1 species